CCUACGGGAGGCAGCAGUAAGGAAUCUUGCGCAAUGGGCGAAAGCCUGACGCAGCGACGCCGCGUGGGCGAUGAAGGCCUUCGGGUUGUAAAGCCCUUUUCUGGGGGACGAGGAAGGACGGUACCCCAGGAAUAAGUCACGGCUAACUACGUGCCAGCAGCCGCGGUAAAACGUAGGUGGCAAGCGUUGUCCGGAAUCAUUGGGCGUAAAGAGCGCGUAGGCGGCUUGCCAGGUCCGAUGUGAAAGCCUGGGGCUUAACUCCAGAACUGCAUCGGAAACCGGCUUGCUAGAGUCUGGGAGAGGGGAGUGGAAUUCCUGGUGUAGCGGUGAAAUGCGUAGAUAUCAGGAGGAACACCGGUAGCGAAGGCGGCUCCCGGGAACAGUACUGACGCUGAGGCGCGAAAGCUAGGGGAGCAAACAGGAUUAGAUACCCGGGUAGU
rnacentral:rRNA from 1 species